AUGUUGAUGUAUACUAAACGCAACGGACUUACAGGGACUUACACCACACGAAAUGAAGUAACUUAGCUAGUUAAUAAGGCAAGGUGAUUCAAGCUAGCAACAUUUCGAUAGUUUGUCCAUUAAUUUUAGAAUGCGCUUAUUUUAAUGUCCAUUUAUGUAUAGUACGAUCCAAAUCUAUAAACAGCUAUAACGUUUAGCAUUCCCGUGGUCUGGUUUGUGUGGCAUUAUUGCCAUGUGCACAUCUGGUUAAAGCAGAUUCAUCCUGAAAAUCAAACGGCUAUAAAUUUAUUUACUGAUAGCUGUUUCUUAUGCUAGAGAUAGUUGGUCUAAAACUCUAUUUAAUGAAUUCAUGACAGUUGCUUGUCUUUGAUGAAUUAUAGCUGUUUGGGCUACCAGACAUGCUGUUGUGACUAUUUUAUAUAUAUGUUUUAUGCUAUCAAUGAGGUAAAUCCAGCAAAAACAGUAGGCUACUGAUCGGGCUAGUGCAUUAUCUAGCUAUGUUAACAGCUAUUCACUUUUUAUUGCAUUGGCAUAGUGCAUCCUAUUUUUAUUUAUUUAUUUAUUUUUUGCUGUUUUAAUUAUCAUUGAGUUGUAGAUCAAUGUUUACAUUUGUUUAUUUCUUUAUUUAUUUUUAUUACAGAUGCUGAUCACACUGCUGUUCAAGAUAUCCAAGGAUUUAUAUCUCAGAACUAGGAGGAAAUUUGAAUGGUUUCUUACUUGCUUAAUCCUGUUUCUCCAUCUCUCAUUCUAUCUCUCAUUCUGUCUGUCUGUCUGUCUGUCUGUCUGUCUGUCUGUCUGUCUGUCUGUCUGUCUGUCUAUCUAUCUAUCUAUCUGUCUAUCUAUCUAUCUAUCUAUUUCUCAUUCUGUCUGUCUGUCUGUCUGUCUGUCUGACUCAGUGGUAGUCUUAUGUCAUUAAUAUUGUGUUUAAUUUGUUCUAUGUAGGGAUAUGCCAUUGCAGCUGACCUUGAGAGUUCACUCUCUAUACCUGCAACUCCUCGUCUGAUACUUCUUGGAGAAACGAGAAGCCGCUUCCAGCGCUGGAUGCUCAGCCUUGAGGGCCAAAUUUGCGAAGGGAUCCAGUCCACCUUUGUGACAGGGCUUGCGUCUUUUUUUCUGUUUUCACAUCUUUAACCAAGAGCAGGCAGCCUGCACGCUUGAAUUCAUCCAGAGACACUUUGAGGGUAUAAACCCAGAAAAAGGGACAAAUGCUGCAAAGGGGGAGCAAGCUCAUGGACUUUCAGUGGGAUUUCAUUUGAAAAUGACCCAAGACUUCGCAAAUGAUCCUCAUUGUGUGCU